GCAGAGGUCGCCUAACCCGGUUUGGCGCGGGCCUGCAAAGCCCGUUUAUGUGGGUUCAAAUCCCACCCUCUGCU
rnacentral:tRNA from 1 species